GAGUUAGUUAUUUUGUUCGAUCGAUCUUUUAUAAUAGUGGUAAUGGUUCCCGGCUUAGUUGAUUUUUAUAAUUUCUGGAUCCUAAUCAAAUUAAUCAUUUGCCGUUGUAUGUGUGAAAAUAAGAGCUACACCAUUUCUUGAUGCCAAUCUAUCCACCAAUAUUUUCCAGCGCAAAAGAAUAUAGAAAAUAAAUAUGAGUGGAAAAGUAUUACUGCUAUCCAAUGUUUUUGUCUCGUGAAGUUGAUGAGUCCAGCUGCAGAUAUUUAUUGGUGCACACGUGAACUGAUUACUUGAUGAAAAGCUCUUGAGCAACAUUUCAGAGCCCAAAAAAAGAAAGAUUCUGAGAAGAUCGUUUGUCGCUGGUGAAGUGAGAAUAGAAGACUCUUCCUACCAACAUUUUCUAGUGCAAAAGAGUAAGUAAAAAAAAAAAGGAAAAAAUUUACUACUUUGGGAAGAACUAUUAUCCUAUGUUGUUGAUUUAAGGAGUUAUUACGCCUGCUUCAGAUAUACUUUGCGGGAUAGCACACUUGAUUUAACUAUUUAUUGAUGUAAACCUCUUGAGUCCAGUAAAAGAUUGAUUCUGGGCAAAAUAAUCCAUUACCGCUGAACUCAGGUGCUGUAAACCUACCAUUUCGUGAAGCAACAUUUUUCAGUACAAAAGAAUAUAGAAAAUAAGUAUGAAUGGAAUACUUGGAAAAGUACGGCUAUCCUAUAUUCUUAUCUCAAGCUAUCCAGUUACAGAAAUUUUUUGGUGCACACGUGAGAGAAUUAUUUAUUAAUACAAAUUUCAUAAGUCCAAGAUUGGAGACUAUGGAUAAUAUUGAUGAUGGCAUAACGGAGGACGGCUCAUCUGCUCUCAGCUCUUUUCCUAUGGCAUACAACUAACUACCUAAUAUGACCAAUGUCUCCGCAUUUGUUGCUUCCGAAUCAUUCAAUCAAUAGCCGAACGACUGUCUUUUCUAUAAAUUUGUGGAAAUAUCCAAUCCAAAUGUGUUUCAAUCCUUUCAGCUUCAUUUUUCGUCUACUACAGUGCAGAAGAGAAACGGAUACUACGAAUGAUAUAAUAGCAUUUUUUGAAACAAGCUCAGAUACCAUGAAAUUGGUUGAUAAAAAUAGUGGAAAUUUAAAGCUAUAUUCUAUAAAAUACGUUACUUCUACUGGGAAUAACCAAAUUCAAAGUGCAUCAGACUCUGAAACCCAGGAAUAGGAAUGUUUGCGUUAAUGACUGUUUUGGCUCCUAAUGCAUAUUCCAUAUCCAAAACUUCGAAGAUCAUCAACAGAAACUUCUUUUGAUAAUCGUGUUGGUAGUGAUCUUCCUCAUGUAUUUCAGGAACAAUAACCUUCAAUUAACAUCAAUACAAGUUCUACUACAGUUAUUGAUUUAAUAAUACAGUAUGAUAUGAUCUAAUAUAAUAAUAUAAAUUUCAAUAUACUAAGUAUAAUAUAAAAGUAAUGAUGAUUCAGAAAUUGUGAUCAUGUGCUAUUUCAAUCUAA